rnacentral:lncRNA from 10 species
GAUCCUCCGUCCUCAGCCUCCUGAGUAAAGGGGACUACAGGCAUGCAUCGCCAUGCCUGGCUAAAUUUUUUUAUUUUUUGUAGAAAUGAGGUCUUGCUCUGUUGUCCUGGCUGAUCUCAAACUCCUGGCCUCAAACAAUCCUCCUGCUUUGACCUCCUUUGGAUUACAGGUGUGAGCCAUGGCACCCAGCCUGGUUCUCUUUUUCUGACCGCUUCUCUCUCUCAAUGAGUUAUUAAGCCAAGUCAUGCAUGACUAUUUUCUGAAUCACAAAACGAACACAGAUAAGAUGAAAGUGCCUCUGAUCUCUACUCCAAUCCUAGCCCUCUGGUCCUUCUCAGAGGUAAUCAGAUGCCAAUGCCACACCACAGCCUCACCAGAGCUUGAUAACAUCAAACCUAUCAUUUGUUGUCGGUCUGGUGGGUGAAAAGUGUUUUUUGUUGUCUUCUUUUGUAGCAUAGUAUAGUAGUUAGGAGUAUGGAAUUUGAAUGCGGGUUGCCUGGGGUCUAAUCCUGGCCCUGGAGUAGCCAGAGGAGGAGCAACUGUGUGGACAACUGAACCUGGCUGAAAGUCAGCUUCGCGGUGUCUGGACCAGGAAUGAUGGCAGAAGUUAUGUUCCAGGGUGGUCGUGAGGAUCGCUGCAUGAACUAGAGCGUGCUAAGUGCUCAGAGCAGGCUGGCCGGCACAAGCGUUCUGCAGGGGUUUGUUUUUAUCAUUGCCGCUAUCAUUUCCCCAAUCACUUAGGACUCUGGGCACCCCCACCCCCCACCUUCACUUUCAGUUCAGUGUUGACAGUUUCCCACGUUUCCCAGUCUCCCAGCACUAAGGCUGGGAAAUAACCGGGAAGCAGUGAAUUCCUGGUUCUGUUUCUGCCUCUUACAGUGAGAGGUGACAGCGUACUGGCAGCCCUGCAGCCCUUGCUCGCUCUCGGCGCCUCCUCGGCCUUGGCGCCCACUUUGGCCGCACUUGAGGAGCCCUUCAGCCCGCCGCUGCACUGUAGGAGCCCCUUUCUGGGCUGGCCAAGGCCGGAGCCGGCUCCCUCAGCUUGCAGGGAGGUGUGGAGGGAGAGACGCAGGUGGGAACCUGGGCUGCGCGCGGUGCUUGCGGGCCAGCGCGAGUUCCGGGUGGGCGCGGGCUCGGCAGUCCCCGCACUCGGAGCCGCCGGCCAGCCUGCAAGCCCCGGGCAGUGAGGGGCUUAGCACCUGGGCCAGCAGCUGCUGUGUUCGACUACUCGCCAUGCCUUAGCUGCCUCCCCGCGGGGCAGGGCUCGGGACCUGCAGCCCGCCAUGCCUGAGCCUCCCCUCCCGGCCGUGGGCUCCUGCGCAGCCCGAGCCUCCCCGACGAGCGCUGCCCCCUGCUCCACGGGGCCCAGUCCCAUCGACCACCCAAGGGCUGAGGAGUGUGGGCACACGGCGCAGGACUGGCAAGCAGCUCCACCUGCGGCCCAGUACGGGAUCCACUGGGUGAAGCCAACUGGGCUCCUGAGUCUGGUGGGGACUUGGAGAACCUUUAUGUCUAGCUAAGGGAUUGUAAAUACACCAAUCGGCACUCUGUAUCCAGCUCAAGGUUUGUAAACACAACAGUCAGCACUCUGUGUCUAGCUCAGGGUUUGUGAAUGCACCAAUCGACACUCUGUAUCUAGUUACUCUGGUGGGGACUUGGAGAACCUUUGUGUCCACACUCUGUAUCUAGCUAAUCUAGUGGGGACGUGAACUUUUGCGUCUAGCUCAGGGAUUGUAAACGCACCAAUCAGCACCCUGUCAAAACGGACCAAUCAGCUCUCUGUAAAACAGACCAAUUGGCUCUCUGUAAAGUGGACCAGUCAGCAGGAUGUGGGUAGGGCCAGACAAGAGAAUAAAAGCAGGCUGCCGGAGCUGGCAGUAGCAAUUGGCUGGGGUGUUUUUCCGCUCUGUGGGAGAUUUGUUCUUUCGCUUUUUGGGUCCACGCUGCGUUUGUGAGCUGUAACACCGUGAAGGUCUGCAGCUUCACUCCUGAAGUCAGGCGAGAAGACUACGAACCCACCUGGAGGAACGAACAACUCCAGACUCGCCGCAUUAAGAGCGGUAACACCGCGAAGGUCUGCAGCUUCACUCCUGAGCCAGCGAGAUCACGAACCCACCGGAAGGCUGUAACAUAUCUGAACAUCAGAAGGAACAAACUCCGGACAGGCCGCCUUCAGGAACUGUAACACUCACCGCGAGGGUCCGUAGCUUCAUUCUUGAAGUCAGUGAGACCAAGAGCCCACCAAUUCCGGACACAACAGGACACACUGCGGCUUCUCCUGGCUUUUUCAAAGUUCAGCCCAAGAGGAAGAGAGACCUAAUUAAUACCCAGGAGAUGGUGGUGUUUAUUUUUUCCAGCUGGGACAACUAAGGCCCCGAGAGGAGAAAGGGACUAUCCGGGGUACAGAGGCCACUGAGUCAGAGCUAGGACCAACAUAUCACCAGCUCUCCCUCUUCAGCGCAGACCCCAACUCACCAGCGGUGGCUUCCUGAAGAGCUGGGUUAAGGAGGAUUCUGAGGUGCAGCAGAGCUCGCUAAGAGGCUGACGGUGACACAGAUCAGAUGCUGCUGCUGUCGUGGCUGCCACCACAAGAAACAAGAGUGUUGGAGUGCAAAUUCAUUAUCCAGCUGUUAAGAGCGACAGAGCAUGCACACAUCUCUCCCCGACCGGGUUAUCUGAGAGCCAGCCCUGCUGUAUGAUUGAGUGGCUGCCAGCCUCCUCUUCUCUGUAACCUUGACACGCCAGAGCCGGGCCUCCAGUGCACAGGCUAAAAAUCCUAAAGGCAACGGCGGCGGCAACAAAUAGAUGGGUUAAUUUGUUUCAUGCCCCCGUUGUCACCAGGCUCUCGCAGAAUAAAACCACCACCACCACCACCACAACCUCCAUUUGUGGGGUUUAAUACCCCAGCUGCUGGGAAUCAGAUUCAGCCGGAGGAAGAAAAUGUGACGUCGAUGCAGAGAUCCAUUUAUUCGGUGAUGUUUGCUUAAAAACCGGUUUUUCAUCUGCAGGUUAUUCUUGCACGCUUGGACCUCAAGCAACACAAUAUCACAUUUCCAGGGCCUCCUCUUCUCAUCAGCAGGCAGGGACAGUGCAUCGACCCAGAGGCCUGGGAGAGGCAGGAAUAAUGAUGCGCCAGAGAGAAUUCUGGCUUCGGGAGAAUCAGAGACUUAACAAAUAUAAUGCUGACAAUAUGACCAUUAUGACACAAGAAACUAUUUGUAUCCAUUGUCCUUUCCUCGCCUGAAAUAACCUAUUGCUUCCUACUCGGUGAUGACAUUUUUCAGGCACCAAGAGUUGCCCGUGGAACAAGAAGUACAUAAACUUCCUUGCUUUGUAGAAAACAGAUUCCGUUUUAUAAGUGGUUUAGUAUUUAGACACUACCUCCAAAGGUUGGGAAGGCCCUUACAAAGCAACAGGAGUCGGCCAGAAUGAAAAGAAUCAGCCGAUGGCUGGGAGGCGGAGGCUUCAGUGAGCCGAGAUCGCACCACUGCACUCCAGCCUGGGCGACAAAAGUGAGACUCCAUCUCAAAAAAAUAAAAAUAAAAAAAUAAAAAUAAAUAAAGGAAUGAUAGACUUGCCAAUCUGCCUUGGAGAAGCAACAGACGGCUAAAUCGUAGGGUUCCUGGCAUUGCAUUUGCCCACAUUUGCCAGCAGAUGGCGACGUGAUCCUGCAAUGUUGCAUUAGUGCAACCCCGGGCAAUGAAAGGUCAGGGACAGGGCACCUGAAGCUGGCUACUUGGAGACUUGGGAACCUCAUCUAUUGCUUUGCAGAGGUCCGAACACCACUAAACACAUUUGGGAGGGAGGAACAGAGGAAGGUCGACCAAUGACGUGUUUAAAACAGCUGCAAGGAUCGGAUGAAAUUUGCAAUUGGCUUGAGCUUGAACUCCAGAUAAUCUCCAGAAUAAAGACAUGGGGGUGGGAGUUAAAACAAAGAACUUGAUGCAAAUUAGGGUCAAACAAUGAUCCCCUUAUGGCACAUCCAUUCCAAGGAAUAUCUUCAGUCAUUAGAAAACCAAGUGGUGGUCUGAGCACGGUGGCUCAUGCCUGUAAUCCCAGGGCUUUGAGAGGCUGAGGCAGGCAGAUCACUUGAGGCUGAUUCAAAACCAGCCUGGCCAACAUGGCAAAACCCCAUCUUUACUAAAAACACAAAAAUUAGCCGGGCAUGGUGGCAUGCACCUGUAAUCCCAGCUACUCUGGAGGCUGAGGCAGGAGAAUCUCUUGAACCUCAGAGGCAGAGGUUGCAGUGAGCUGAGACCACACCACUGCACUCCAGCCUGGGUGACCCAGUGAGACUCUGUCUCAAAAAAAGAAAAAAAGAAAAAAAAAUUAGACAAAUUGAACUUCAUCAAAAUUAAACUUCUAUGCUUCCAAGAACGCCAUCAAAAAAGUGAAAAAAACCAACCACAGAAAGGGAGGAAAUAUUUGCAAAUCUGAUCUAGAAUAUAUAAAGAAUUCUAACAACUCAAAAAUGAAAAGACAUAAAAGCUAAUUUUAAAAUGGGCAAAGGAUUUAGAUACAUCUCUCUCCAGAGAAGAUACACAAAUGGCCAAUAAGCACAUGAAAAGAUGUUCAACAUCAUCAGCCAUCAGAGAUGUGCAAGUCAAAACCAUCCUGCGAUAGACCCCACUUUACAUCCACUAGGAUGGCUAUAAUUUUAAAAAGCAGACAAUGACAAGUGUUGGCAAGGAUGUGAUGAGAAAUUGGAAUCCUUGUACAUUGUGGGUGGAAAUGCAAAAUGGUAUAGCUGCUUUGGCAAACAGUCUAGUAGUUCCUCAAAAGGGGAAACACUGAUCAAAUUUGACCCAGCAAUUCCACUCUUUCAUAUCCCAAGAAAACUAAAAACAUAAUUCAUGUCCACGAAAAACUUGGACAUGAAUUUUAAAGCAGCAUUAUUGGCCAGGUGUAGUGGCUCACGCUUGUAAUUCUAGCACUUUGGGAGGCCAAGGCGGGCAGAUCACUUGAGGUCAGGAGUUCAAGACCAGCCUGGCCAACAUGGCGAAACCCUGUCUUUACUAAAAAAAAAAAAAAUACAAAAAUUAGCCAGGCAUGGUGGCACAUGCCUGUAAUCCCACUAUUUGGGAGGCUGAGGCAGGAGAUAACUUGAACCCGGGAGGCAGAGGUGGCAGUGAGCCAAGAUCGCACCACUGCACUCCAGCCUGGGCAAUAGAGCGAGACUGUCUCAAAAAAAAAAAAAAAAAGAAAUAAAGAAAAGAACAGAAAAAAAUCAUUAUUCAUGAGAGCCAAAAGCGGAAACAAUCCAGAUGUCCAUCAACAGAUGAGUAUUUUAACAAAAUGUGGUAUAGCCACACAAUGGAAUACUAUUCGGUCAUACAAAGGGAUGGAGUACUGGUCCAUGCUACAACAUGAUUGAACCUUGAAAACAUCAUUUUAAGUGAAGGAAGCCAGACACAAAAGACUCUACUAAAAAGACCCUGUCUCCACUAAAAAUACAAAAAUUAGCCGGGCAUGGUGGCAUGUGCCUGUAGUCCCAGCAACUCGGGAGGUUGAGGCAGGAGAAUCACCCAAACCCGGGAGGUGGAGGUUGCAGUGAGCUGAGAUUGUGCCACUGCACUCCAGCCUGGCUGACAAGAGCGGAACUCCAUCUCAAUCAAUCAAUCAAUCAAUCAAUCAAUAAAAUUGAUAGUGGUAAUGGAUGCACAACUCUGUGAAUAAAGUCAUUGACUUGUAUACUUCAAAUGGGUGAAUUGUAAGUAAAUUAUAUCUCAAUAAAGCUGUUACCAAAAAAUCAAAUGCUAGACUAUUUAACAUGGAAAACCAUUCCCAUUACAUUGUUAGGUGAAGAAAGGGAGAGAGAGAGAAUGGGGCCCCAGGGCUGCUGGGUUCCAUAGCUCCCUGUGAAUGAUGGCCCUUGGAGAUGCAGAAUGAAAUGUGGGAUUUCACCCCUCUCCAUGAUCCAUGCAUGCGUGGUGGAAAUUGACUCUGGCUGCCCAACUCCGCAGUGGCGUGCAACUCACUUUCUCUCCAACUCAUCCUUCAAAGCCCUUUAAGGGAUAUUUGGUUACAACAUGGUAAAAUAUAAUGAGAUUCCAAUUUUUGUUUCUAUUAAAUAUAUUAAUAUAUAAGCGCAUGUGUGCAUGAAAAUAGAUACACAUCAAAGGAUAACAGUGGUUGUCUACAGGUAGAAAGGUUAUGGAGCUUUUAUUUUCUCCUUCAUAUUUGUAUUGCUCUAAUUUUCUGUAAUGCAGUGUAUUAAUUUGCAAUUAGAAAAAUAUAUAUAUGUAUUUUAAAAUGUGUCUAUAACCCCAACACUUUGGGAGGCCAAGGUGGGCAGAUUGCUAGAGUCUAGGAGUUCAAGACCACUUUGAGCAACAUGGCAAAACCCCGUCUCUACAAAAAUACAAAAAAUUAGCCGGGCAUGGUGGUGUGCACUUGUAGUCCCAGAUACUCCGGAGGCUGAGGUGGGAGGAUCACUUGAGCCUGGGAGGUUGAGGCUGCAGUGAACCGUGAUCACACCAGUGUACUCCAGCCUGAGUGACAGAGCAAGACCCUGUCUCAAAAAAAAAAAAAAUUAAAAGAUAAAAAUAAAAACAUAUUGUUUUAUUCUGUAAGUCUUCUCUGCCUGCCUCACUCACAUAGUAACACUCCUUUUAUCCUCACAUUUAUAACCCUGUUUAACAGGUAGUGGCAUAAUUGCUUAUCUUCUCCAACAGACAUCUGAAGACAGAUAUCAUUCCUAAUUUAUCAUUCCAUCCAAAACCCAGAAAUGCCUGCCUUUGAUAUGCCUGGUGAACAUAGUACGCAUUACCAAAUACUAAGCAGUAUCUUCUGUGUGAAGCCUACAUUAAAAUUUUAUUCAAGACUUUGUACCCUUUGAGGAGACAGUAAUACAGUCCCUUCAAUGCUUUAUAUUAUCAUGAAGGAUUAUUUCCCUUUUUGCCCUUGCUGCCAGGAAGCUUACUUGCAUCAACUGUGUUGCUGGCUUACAGUUGCACAUCUGAUUCUAACUUUCUUCCUUGAGUCUAAUGUGUGGCAUUUCCUCAACUUCUUUUUGAAAAUAAACCAGCUACACUCAGUGUAGCUCUAUGCAUGAGGUAGGAAUAAAUAAAUAAAUAGUGGCUACUCUGUUGAGGAUAAAAUAUUUUCUUUGGAAAUCCAAAGUGGUAUUUUAUCCUAAGAGGGAUGGUAGCAUCAACAUCUAAGGGUGCUCAGGCACAAUGUGUCCAGAACCAGAGGCUUGGAGCAACUCAGUUUUAAGCCCCGGAAGGGAUGAAGCAUCUUCCAGUUCUGUAUACUCCCCAAGUACCUACACAGAGCUGGGCGAAGAGUAAGCACCCUUUAAAUACCUGCUGCGUGAAUACUCAGGGCUCAAAAUUCCGUAUCCUUGCCAUGCAAGGGGUCACAAAGUUUAACCCAGGGUUUCUCAGCCUUAGCACUUCUGACACUCAGGCCAGUGAGUUCUUUGUUGUGGGCUGGUUGUCCUGGGUGUUGUGGGAUGUUGAACAACAUCCUUGGCCUCUACCCACCAGAUGCCAGUAGCACCCCUGCACAUAAAUUUUUUGACAAUCAAAAAUGUCUUCGAACAUUGCCAAAUAUCCCCUGGGGGCAAAAUCUCCCUCUGGUUAAACAGCAUGGGUUUUUGCCAGGUGUGGUGGCAUGGGCCUGUAGUCCCGGCUACUUGGGAGGCUGAGGUGGGAGGAUCACCUGAGAUCAGGGAUUGGAGACCAGCCUGGGCAACACAGCAAGAUCCCAUCUCUAAAAAAAAAAAAAUUAAAAAUUAGUCAGGCAUGGUGGCUCAUGCCUGUAGUCCCAGCUACUCAGGUGACUAAGAUGGGAGGAUCACUUGAGCCCAGGAGUUCGAGGCUGCAGUGAGCAGUGAUUGUGCCACUGCACUCCAGCCUGGGCCACAAAGCAAAACUUUGUCUCAAAACAAACAAACAAAGAAACAAAAACAACAACAAAAUGUCUUCAAACAUUGCUUGAAGUGGGUGGUGUAAAAUCUCCCACUGAUUAAACAGCACUGGUUUCAAGCAACACCUUCCAGGUCCUAGAAGCCACCAACUACAAUUCUAGAAUACCAGGGCUGGAAGGACCCCAUGCAUUAUCCUGUUGACAUCCUUUCAUAGACAGGCCAAUGGGCCCAGAAAUAAGAGACUGAGGCACAGCCCCUGCCCACAGGAAACAACAAAGGGUGAUCAAAACGUGCCAAGGCAACGCGCUGCCCCGGCCCUGCUUGCACGCAGAUUGGAGUUGCAGGUGGCUCCUCCAUGUCAUGGUGUAAACUUGUGCUAAAAUUAACCUGAGCGUCUGAGACUUCCUCUAUAAAAUGACAAAAAAGAACACCUGGC